rnacentral:lncRNA from 1 species
UAUUGAUUUUUUUAAAAAAAUUUUUUGAGAGAGAAAAAUAACAUACUAUAUGUUUCGUUUAUUUUUUAGAAAUAAAUUUAGCUGGUAAUAUAAACCAACUAAACUUCGAACUUGAAAUCUCAUAUAUCAACCACUAAAUUUUUUGUCACUUGCAUUAAAGACAGUCAGUUGAUAUUGAUAUUUUGAUUUUAUUUUUUUU